UUGGGUUUAAAGUGCUCGUAGGCGGUUUAUUAAGUUAGGUGUGAAAUCCCUGGGCUCAACCUAGGAAUGGCACUUAAGACUGUUAAGCUAGAGUAUUGUAGAGGGGGGUAGAAUUCCAGGUGUAGCGGUGAAAAUGCGUAGAGAUCUGGAGGAAUACCGGUGGCGAAGGCGGCCCCCCUGGACAUUGACUGACGCUGAGGGGCGAAAAGCGUGGGGGAGCAAAACAGGAUUAGAUA
rnacentral:rRNA from 1 species